CGGGGGGUACGAUGUCGAUUUGGAGGUUGUGCCCUUGAGGCGUGGCUUCCGAAGCUAACGCGUUAAAUCGACCGCCUGGGGAGUACGGCCGCAAGGUUAAAACUCAAAUGAAUUGACGGGGGCCCGCACAAGCGGUGGAGCAUGUGGUUUAAUUCGAUGCAACGCGAAGAACCUUACCUACUCUUGACAUCCAGCGAAUCCUGUAGAGAUACGGGAGUGCCUUCGGGAACGCUGAGACAGGUGCUGCAUGGCUGUCGUCAGCUCGUGUUGUGAAAUGUUGGGUUAAGUCCCGCAACGAGCGCAACCCUUAUCCUUUGUUGCCAGCGGUUCGGCCGGGAACUCAAAGGAGACUGCCAGUGAUAAACUGGAGGAAGGUGGGGAUGACGUCAAGUCAUCAUGGCCCUUACGAGUAGGGCUACACACGUGCUACAAUGGCGUAUACAAAGAGAAGCGAACUCGCGAGAGCAAGCGGACCUCAUAAAGUACGUCGUAGUCCGGAUUGGAGUCUGCAACUCGACUCCAUGAAGUCGGAAUCGCUAGUAAUCGUGGAUCAGAAUGCCACGGUGAAUACGUUCCCGGGCCUUGUACACACCGCCCGUCACACCAUGGGAGUGGGUUGCAAAAGAAGUAGGUAGCUUAACCUUCGGGAGGGCGCUUACCACUUUGUGAUUCAUGACUGGGGUGAAGUCGUACAAGGGAUAAACAAA
rnacentral:rRNA from 1 species